CAGUAGCCACGGUAAUACGGAGGGGGCUAGCGUUGUUCGGAAUUACUGGGCGUAAAGCGCACGUAGGCGGCUUUGUAAGUCAGAGGUGAAAGCCUGGAGCUCAACUCCAGAAUUGCCUUUGAGACUGCAUCGCUUGAACGUCGGAGAGGUGAGUGGAAUUCCGAGUGUAGAGGUGAAAUUCGUAGAUAUUCGGAAGAACACCAGUGGCGAAGGCGACUGACUGGACAAGUAUUGACGCUGAGGUGCGAAAGCGUGGGGAGCAAACAGGAUUAGAUACCCCAGUAGUCCCUGUCUCUUAUAC
rnacentral:rRNA from 1 species